UUUUUUUUUAAAGCUAAGAUGGCUAGUUUAUUUCUCAUACCCAAAUUCACGUCAACGUCCCUUUAAUUACAAUACUUUUCUAGAAGAUGAGAAAUGACAUAACAAAGGUAGAAAGAAAGAGGAGACUUUUCUUGAACAAAAGCCCCCGAAAAGAGGAGCGAAAAAGAAAUAAAAAACUCUUAAGAAACUUCGGGCAAAGGUUCACAAUGCACGUGACCCAUUUAGCACGUGCCUCUCCUCAUCCGGACCUUCUAAUCUGAUCCGAUCAACUGCCUCACUAACCAUCAUCAUUCAUCACCGCCUCUAAUUUAAUGGCGGUAAUAAACAUUGUUUUUUUUUUUUUUUUUUACUAAAAAAUCCUAAUCCUAAUCCUAUCAAUUACAUAACCCGCCGAUUACCUUGCACGUUCAAUCCACUGUUAGUCUUGAUUCAUCAUCACCGUUCAUAGCGCUAUUCUGACAAUCAAGCGGCUCAGCCUUCACUGGAUUAGCUCCCGGUUGCUGCAGCUGCAACUGCAACUGCGUAUCAUUAUCCGCCGCUAUGCCUUCCCCUUCCCUCCCUCUCUUAGCACCAAUCGCCACACCAAAAAGCCUUGCACUCGUGUCUUCCUCUUCACCGCCAAAUUGCUUUACCGAAAGAAAAUCCAGCGGCUUGACCGCCGGAAAACGCCCACCUUCCGACGGAUGCAAACCAACUUCUGAUUGAGUACUCGCGUAAUUCGACACCAUACUAAAAAUAUUGUUACAAAGAUUCUUUAUUUCCGUCAAUUCUUUUGAGAGCUGCACGUUCUCUUUCCUCAAUCUCUCAUUCUCGUCCAAAAGCUCUGUGGUUGGUCCGCUCACAUGAGCUACUCUUGAUGGUGACGAGUUCGUUGAAAUCACUUGUUCAUCACCGGAAUUCGACGGAGAUAUUAUAGGUUUCGCCGUUGGAAUUGCCGCGGCGACAGCCACCGGCGUUGGCUGUGUCGCUGUCCCUCCCGUUUGAGUUGAAAUUUUCCUUCUCUGUAUAUCACAUAAUAGAUUUUUCUCGCCUCUGCGGAAACAGUCGUUGGAAAAUUCCCAUCGAUCAGGUACCACCUUUCUAAAUCCAUAAGUAUUUAAUUGGCGAACAAAGCUCGAAAAGUUGUUGUGCUUGAAGUACUUGGGAAGCAAAUCUCUAGCAAAAACCGUAGGGUUCCAAACGAUGAAGGUAGAUCCGUCAUCGUUCCAGGAAAUCACAUCGUCUAUUGUUUGAUCAUCCACGAGUUGGUAAGUCUUCGUCAAAAAAGGAGUCGGCAAAGAUCUCUGUGAUUCCCCGGCAGUCGCCUCUCCGUUCUGCUCCCUCGGCGUAGGCGCCAUCGCCGACGCUUAAAGAAAAAGUUUGAAUAAUCAAUAAAUGAAGUUGUGAAGGAUUAUUAGAUAGGAAUUUGGAGAGAAAGCAGGGUUGAAGGUUACAGGGAGGAUUUGAUAUGGUAAUUCUAGAAGGUUCCUAGGAAUUUAAGGAAGGGAAGGGGAGAGGAGAGAGAGUAUAAACGGUAACGAAGAAAACAAAGGAAGAACGGUGACAAAGAGAGGAAAUGAUGAAACGACGAGAAGCUGC
rnacentral:misc_RNA from 1 species